CUACGGGGCGCUGCAGUGGGGAAUAUUGCACAAUGGAGGAAACUCUGAUGCAGCAACGCCGCGUGGAGGAUGACACUUUUCGGAGCGUAAACUCCUUUUAUAUAGGAAGAAGAUGACGGUACUAUAUGAAUAAGCGCCGGCUAACUCCGUGCCAGCAGCCGCGUGUAAUACGGAGGGCGCAAGCGUUACUCGGAAUCACUGGGCGUAAAGAGCGUGUAGGCGGAUUAAAAAGUCAGAAGUGAAAUCCUAUAGCUUAACUAUAGAACUGCUUCUGAAACUCUUAAUCUAGAAUAUGGGAGAGGUAGAUGGAAUUUCUGGUGUAGGGGUAAAAUCCGUAGAGAUCAGAAGGAAUACCGAUUGCGAAGGCGAUCUACUAGAACAUUAUUGACGCUGAGACGCGAAAGCGUGGGGAGCAAACAGGAUUAGAUACCCUAGUAGUC
rnacentral:rRNA from 1 species